AUCCAGCUGACGAGUCCCAAAUAGGACGAUACACGCGUUCUGGAU
rfam:Schistosoma curassoni strain Dakar, Senegal genome assembly, scaffold: SCTD_contig0003848